rnacentral:piRNA from 1 species
UACGUACUUAUUUUGCCCAGA